ACUUUUUGACAAUGGGGGAAACCCUGAUCCAGCCACCCCGCGUGUAUGAUGAAGGUCUUUGGGUUGUAAAGCACUUUUGGCUGCGAAAAAAAGGUACCUCCUAACACGAGGUACUGUUGACGGUAUCUGCAGAAUAAGCCCCGGCUAACUACGUCCCAGCACCCGCGGUAAUACGUAGGGUGCAAGCGUUAAUCGGAAUUACUGGGCGUAAAGCGUGUGUAGGCGGUUCGGGAAGAGAGAUGUGAAAGCCCAGGGCGCAACCUUGGAACUGCAUUUUUAACUGCCGAGCUAGAGUAUGUCAGAGGGGGGUAGAAUUCCACGUGUAGCAGUGAAAUGCGUAGAUAUGUGGAGGAAUACCGAUGGCGAAGGCAGCCCCCUGGGAUAAUACUGACGCUCAGACACGAAAGCGUGGGGAGCAAACAG
rnacentral:rRNA from 1 species